ensembl:misc_RNA predicted gene, 27520
AAAUCAAAACCCAACCCCAGCAAUAGUCAUGGGGUAGAUUCUGGAAGCAGGUAGGAUUCUACCGCUUGACCAGUGAUUUGU